UAAUUGAAGAGUUUGAUCAUGGCUCAGAUUGAACGCUGGCGGCAGGCCUAACACAUGCAAGUCGAGCGGUAACAGGGAUCAGCUUGCUGAUUCGCUGACGAGCGGCGGACGGGUGAGUAAUGUCUGGGAAACUGCCUGAUGGAGGGGGAUAACCACUGGAAACGGUGGCUAAUACCGCAUAACGUCGCAAGACCAAAGUGGGGGACCUUCGGGCCUCAUGCCAUCAGAUGUGCCCAGAUGGGAUUAGCUUGUAGGUGGGGUAACGGCUCACCUAGGCGACGAUCCCUAGCUGGUCUGAGAGGAUGACCAGCCACACUGGAACUGAGACACGGUCCAGACUCCUACGGGAGGCAGCAGUGGGGAAUAUUGCACAAUGGGCGCAAGCCUGAUGCAGCCAUGCCGCGUGUAUGAAGAAGGCCUUCGGGUUGUAAAGUACUUUCAGUGGGGAGGAAGGCG
rnacentral:ncRNA from 1 species